rnacentral:misc_RNA from 1 species
CGAGAAAAAAAAAAAUAAAGACCUAAACAGUGGAAAGAAGGAAGGAAAGAUAGUGAUGGAGAAGUACCAGCGCCAGCAGAUCUGGAUAGUCUUAGGUAUCUUGGUGUUGCUAGCCGUAUCAGCCUUAGCGGACGACGUCGUUGUUAUUACGGAAGAUAGCUUCGAGAAGGUGGUCGGUCAAGACAGAGGCGCUCUCGUCGAAUUCUAUGCUCCUUGGUGUGGACAUUGUCAGAAGCUUGCUCCUGAGUAUGAGAAACUUGGAACAAGCUUUAAGAAGGCAAAGUCUGUUUUGAUUGGAAAGGUGGACUGUGAUGAGCAUAAGAGCUUAUGCAGUAAAUAUGGGGUUUCUGGAUAUCCAACAAUUCAAUGGUUCGCUAAAGGAUCUCUGGAGCCCAAAAAGUAUGAAGGCCCACGAAAUGCAGAAUCCCUUGCUGAGUUUGUGAAUAAUGAAGGAGGAACCAAUGUAAAGAUAGCUACAGUGCCAUCCAAUGUAGUGGUGCUGACGGCUGAUAAUUUUAAUGAGGUUGUCUUGGAUGAAACCAAAGAUGUUCUGGUUGAGUUUUAUGCACCAUGGUGUGGCCAUUGCAAAAAUCUUGCUCCUACGUAUGAAAAGGUAGCUACAGCAUUUAAAUCAGAGGAAGAUGUAGUGAUUACCAAUCUAGAUGCUGACAAAUAUAGGGAUCUAGCUGAAAAGUUUGGAGUAAGUGGAUUCCCAACGCUUAAAUUCUUUCCAAAAGGCAACAAAGCCGGGGAAGAAUAUGAGGGUGGUAGAGACUUGGAAGACUUUGUCAAUUUCAUUAAUGAAAAGUGUGGAACCAGUCGUGAUGGAAAAGGACA